GUAGGGAAUAUUGCGCAAUGGGGGAAACCCUGACGCAGCGACGCCGCGUGAGUGAUGAAGGCCUUCGGGUCGUAAAGCUCUGUUGCAGGGGAAUAAAAAAAUGAAGGUACCCUGUGAGGAAGGAUCGGCUAACUUCGUGCCAGCAGCCGCGGUAAGACGAGGGAUCCUAGCGUUGCUCGGAAUCAUUGGGCGUAAAGAGGGCGUAGGUGGCUUGGUAAGUCAGGUGUGAAAGCCCAGGGCUCAACCCUUGAAGUGCAUUUGAUACUGCUGAGCUUGAGUGUCGGAGAGGUUACCGGAAUACCUGGUGUAGUGGUGAAAUACGUAGAUAUCAGGUGGAACACCGGAGGCGAAGGCGGGUAACUGGACGAACACUGACACUGAGGCCCGAAAGCGUGGGGAUCAAACAGGAUUAGAUACCCUUGUAGUCC
rnacentral:rRNA from 1 species